rnacentral:rRNA from 1 species
GACGAACGCUGGCGGCGUGCUUAACACAUGCAAGUCGAACGGAAAGGCCCUGCUUUUUUGGGGUGCUCGAGUGGCGAACGGGUGAGUAACACGUGAGUAACCUGCCCUUGACUUUGGGAUAACUUCAGGAAACUGGGGCUAAUACCGGAUAGGAGCUCCUGCUGCAUGGUGGGGGUUGGAAAGUUUCGGCGGUUGGGGAUGGACUCGCGGCUUAUCAGCUUGUUGGUGGGGUAGUGGCUUACCAAGGCUUUGACGGGUAGCCGGCCUGAGAGGGUGACCGGCCACAUUGGGACUGAGAUACGGCCCAGACUCCUACGGGAGGCAGCAGUGGGGAAUAUUACACAGUGGGCGGAAGCCUGAUGCAGCAACGCCGCGUGCGGGAUGACGGCCUUCGGGUUGCAAACCGCUUUCGCCUGUGACGAAGCGUGAGUGACGGUAAUGGGUAAAGAAGCACCGGCUAACUACGUG